rnacentral:pre_miRNA from 1 species
AUACUGGGCCUGAUCCAAAGUCUACUGAAGUCCAUAGGAGACUUUCCAUGGAUUUCAAUGGUCUUUGGAUUAGGUCCACUUUUCGU